UACAGAGGGUGCAAGCGUUGUUCGGAAUUACUGGGCGUAAAGCGCGUGUAGGCUGCAAUGUAAGUCGGAUGUGAAAGCCCUUGGCUCAACCAAGGAAGUGCAUCCGAUACUGCGUCGCUUGAGUGUCGGAGGGGGUGGCGGAAUUCCCGGUGUAGAGGUGAAAUUCGUAGAUAUCGGGAGGAACACCUGUGGCGAAGGCGGCCACCUGGACGACAACUGACGCUGAGACGCGAAAGCGUGGGUAGCAAACAGG
rnacentral:rRNA from 1 species